CCGAAGUCACGGAAGCCCCGCCUCUAGCUGGGGGUGGGGCCCACGAGACCCCAGGCUUGGAGAGCGGGAAAGACGCCGCUUGGCUGCGGUAAGACUCUCGGCUGUGACACUAGGACGAGGCGGCGGACCCCAGCCACGUGACCCUGCAGACGUGUGCUGCGCACGUGAGGCGCAAACAGGUGUUCCUGCUUAGCAAGCUGCCCCCGCCCCCCACCCCGGACCGGAAGUGGCUGACUCCUCACUCCCCGCCCCCCCGCCGCAUCCCAUUGGCUCAGCUCAGUCACGUGUCUGCCCCAACUGCAAGGGGUGCUGGGAAGGCGCUCUUGGCUGCCCGCGGGUUCGGCAGAGGCUCUCGCGGCCCGUAACACGGGGUGGCGCCCCCAGGCGGCAGCAAAACCGAGGCGCUGUUGCCUCCCUGAACGUGGGGAGAAGGCGGCAGGUGGGCAAGGGCCACAUAUGGCCACCCGGGAUGACCCUGGCCACGGGACUGUCUAGCGAAAUGCCCCAACCCACCUCCUGGAGUUACUCAAGGGGUAGAAAACGUCGUCACGAGUUGAGAAGCGCCUGCUGGUCUGGAUACAAGAGGAGACCAAGAGAGGGCAGCGGUAUGAUGAGAGGCCUCCAAAAUUGUGUCCAGGAAACUGCUGUGGAUAGAGUUUAUGUUCACGCUCAUCUGGGAAAUUGUUCAACAGGAGGGAGGCGGAGACUGUGUUUUCAAAGACACGGACUUGAGAGGACGUGAGGCAGCUGGAAGGCAAACACCAAACAAACCGCGGAACAGUGAUGGCUGCCACAGAGCAGGGGCUGGAGGUCAUGACCCUGUACUCUGGAGCAGACGCUGUGGCCGAGCUGCCUCCGAGGCGUGGAGAUUCUGGAAGGAAACGCAGGCUGGGGAGGAGGAACGAGUUCUGGCAGAGCGGGGACAUUUGGUGACAGCCGCUCGUGUGCGGAGAGCUGUCCCAGGGGCCCGGGGACGCGGAGGCUCAGCCGGACAGAAACCCACUCAGGUCCCUGGGGUCAGGGGGAAUCCAGGGAGGAACUCAGGAGGGGGGCUAAGUGGGGAGAUUGGAAGAAGGGACAUUCAAAACGGGGCUAAUUGGGGCGCCUGGGUGGCUCGGUCGGUUAAGCGUCCGACUUCGGCUCAGGUCAUGAUCUCGCGGUCCGUGGGUUCGAGCCCCGCGUCGGGCUCUGUGCUGACAGCUCGGAGCCUGGAGCCUGUUUCGGAUUCUGCGUCUCCCUCUCUCUCUCUGCCCCACCCCCGCUCACACUCCGUCUUUUUCUCCAGAAAUAAGUCAACAUUAAAAAAAUUAAUUAAACGGGGUGAGAGGAGGAGUAGGAGCCUGCCAGGCACAAGGCAGGAGGCAGAGGGAGCUGCCGGGUAGAGCAAAGGCCGGGCGCCCGGAUGGUGUCUUGCGAGGUGACCCGUGUGGCUGGGGCAGAGGGUGACAUGGGGCAGGGAGGACGUGGACAUUGCUGUAGACUGAAUGUUGUGCAGUCAGCAGACUGAAAUCGACUCCCCAGUGUGAUGGUAUCGGGGGGGGGGGGCCCGCUGGGAGCCCCCCAUGAAUGCAGCCAAGUCCCCUUCUGAAGGAGACUCCGGAGAGCUCCCUCACGCCUUCCUCCGGGUGAGCACACAGUGAGGAGACGGCCGUCCCUCCAAACCGGGAGCAGGCCCUCCCCAGACAUUGAAUCUGCAGCGCCUUGAUCUCGGACUUCCAGCCUUCGAAACCGAGAAGGAAAUGUGUGUUUCUAAGCCACUUGGUCUGUGGAAUUCUGUUAUAACGGCCCUGAUAGACUAAGGCAGAGAUUAACGAUGCCAGGGAGGUCCGGAGGGCUUCUGGGAGGAGGUGACAUUUGAACAGAGACUUGGAGGAGGAGCUGGCCGUGGGGGAGGUGUGGGGAGAAGAGCAU
ensembl:lncRNA